AACGCAAAUUGCGCUCGAGGCUUCGGCCAAGAGCAUGUCUGACUCAGCGUCGGGUUAAUACUCACUCUAUCUAACCGUAGAGUGGAUCUGGUUGUCCCGGGAGAUUUAAAAACGUCAGGGUCAGCUGAAGUAUGCAGAUGUCACACCAUGGAACCAUCAACGGGCCUCUACUGGGUAGUCAGUCAAAUGCUAAUGCUUUGUAGAUGGCUUCGGGUGCUGUGUUUGGCUAAAACCAGGAUUAUAACUCUCGUUAUACAAACCCCAUUUACUCGACCUGAGCUCAGGCAUGAUUACCCGCUGAACUUA
rnacentral:misc_RNA from 1 species